AACGAACGCUGGCGGCAUGCCUAACACACGCAAGUCGAACGAGACCUUCGGGUCUAGUGGCGCACGGGUGCGUAACGCGUGGGAACCUGCCCUUAGGUUCGGAAUAACUCCCCGAAAGGGGUGCUAAUACCGGAUAAUGUCUUCGGACCAAAGAUUUAUCGCCUUUGGAUGGGCCCGCGUUGGAUUAGCUAGUUGGUAGGGUAAAAGCCUACCAAGGCGACGAUCCAUAGCUGGUCUGAGAGGAUGAUCAGCCACACUGGGACUGAGACACGGCCCAGACUCCUACGGGAGGCAGCAGUGGGGAAUAUUGGACAAUGGGCGAAAGCCUGAUCCAGCAAUGCCGCGUGAGUGAUGAAGGCCUUAGGGUUGUAAAGCUCUUUUACCCGGGAUGAUAAUGACAGUACCGGGAGAAUAAGCUCCGGCUAACUCCGUA
rnacentral:rRNA from 1 species